rnacentral:rRNA from 1 species
UACGUAGGGUGCAAGCGUUGUCCGGAAUUAUUGGGCGUAAAGAGCUCGUAGGCGGUCUGUCGCGUCUGCUGUGAAAACUCGUGGCUUAACCCCGGGCCUGCAGUGGGUACGGGCAGACUAGAGUGCGGUAGGGGAGACUGGAAUUCCUGGUGUAGCGGUGAAAUGCGCAGAUAUCAGGAGGAACACCGGUGGCGAAGGCGGGUCUCUGGGCCGUAACUGACGCUGAGGAGCGAAAGCGUGGGGAGCGAACAGG